rnacentral:tRNA from 1 species
GCGCCAGUAGCUCAGCUGGAUAGAGCACCAGAUUUCUAAUCUGGGGGUCGGGGGUUCGAGCCCUCCCUGGCGUA